rnacentral:rRNA from 1 species
GACGAACGCUGGCGGCGUGCUUAACACAUGCAAGUCGAACGGAAAGGCCCUGCUUUUGUGGGGUGCUCGAGUGGCGAACGUGUGAGUAACACGUGAGUAACCUGCCCUUGACUUUGGGAUAACUUCAGGAAACUGGGGCUAAUACCGGAUAGGAGCUCCUGCUGCAUGGUGGGGGUUGGAAAGUUUCGGCGGUUGGGGAUGGACUCGCGGCUUAUCAGCUUGUUGGUGGGGUAGUGGCUUACCAAGGCUUUGACGGGUAGCCGGCCUGAGAGGGUGACCGGCCACAUUGGGACUGAGAUACGGCCCAGACUCCUACGGGAGGCAGCAGUGGGGAAUAUUGCGCAAUGGGCGGAAGCCUGAUGCAGCAACGCCGCGUGCGGGAUGACGGCCUUCGGGUUGUAAACCGCUUUCGCCUGUGACGAAGCGUGAGUGACGGUAAUGGGUAAAGAAGCACCGGCUAACUACGUG